rnacentral:rRNA from 1 species
AUACUCUCGGCAACAGAUAUUUUGUCUCUCGCAUCGAUGAAGAACGCAGCGAAAUGCGAUACUUGGUGUGAAUUGCAGAAUCCCGUGAACCAUCGAGUCUUUGAACGCAAGUUGCGCCCGAGGCUAUCCGGCCGAGGGCACGC